UGAAGUUAGAGAAUUGGGGGAAAGAAGAGGAACUUCAAGUUUGGAUGCCCAAGGCUGAGAAGGUUGGUAGGGAUUCAAGGGGGAUGCUUGGACUACAUUACCUUUGGCUGGGGAUCUUGGCAUUCUAAAAUAGAUGUGUUCUGCGGUAAAGAAAUUCAUGAGAAGCAUGUCAAGAACCUAAUGAAUUCAUGAGAAGAAUGUAACGGUGGAGAAAUUCAUGUACUCUCACGCAAGCCAAAUGUUACAAUUCUUUUUUUGGUAAAGGCUUGGACA